rnacentral:rRNA from 1 species
CAACGGCAUCACGAGGGUUCCACUGUCUCCUUUAUCUAAUCAGUGAAACUAAUCUCCCCGUGAAGAAGCGAGGAUACUCUUAUAAGACGAGAAGACCCCAUGGAGCUUUAAACCCAAUUAUAUCUCUAACCACUAUAACCAUUUAAUCACUUAGAACUUAUAUACUUGGUUUUAGGUUGGGGCGACCACGGAGCACAACCAAACCUCCACGAUGAACGGA